CGAACUCCUACGGGAGGCAGCAGUGGGGAAUAUUGGACAAUGGACCAAAAGUCUGAUCCAGCAAUUCUGUGUGCACGAUGACGUUUUUCGGAAUGUAAAGUGCUUUCAGUUGGGAAGAAAAAAAUGACGGUACCAACAGAAGAAGUGACGGCUAAAUACGUGCCAGCAGCCGCGGUAAUACGUAUGUCACAAGCGUUAUCCGGAUUUAUUGGGCGUAAAGCGCGUCUAGGUGGUUAUGUAAGUCUGAUGUGAAAAUGCAGGGCUCAACUCUGUAUUGCGUUGGAAAC
rnacentral:rRNA from 1 species